CCUGUUGGCCUAGUCUACCUGCUUGUUAGCAUACCUGUUGGCCUAGCCUACAUGCUUGUUAGCAUACCUGUUGGCCCUAGGCUACUUGCUUGUUAGCAUACCUGUUGGCCUUUUCUACCUGCAUGUUGUCCAAGUCUACCUGCUUAUUAGCCUAGCCUGCCUGUUAGCCUAGUCUACCUGCUUGUUAGCCUUGUCUACCUGCUUGUUAGCCUAACCUACCUGCAUGUUGGCCAAGUCUACCUACCUGCUAGCCUAGCCUACCUGUUAGCUCAGACUGUGACCGGAUGGAGAAUAUCCACACAUGGUCUUUAGUUCAUAGUUCAUAUCAUUAGUUUAUUGCAUUUGAAAGGUCUCACCAGAACCCAUGAUUAUUGCCUAUAAUUACCUUAUAAUAUUGACUAUCACUCAGUCAAUAUGAAUUACCUCUCUUAACAAGGUCACAAAUAAUUUAGGCUAAUAUUUCCCCUUUGACUUGUUGACAUAGUUUCCAUCUCUUACUAAGAAGUUGAGAGUUCCUGAUCUGUGAAUGGUUGUCUUUACUCGGUGUAUUUACUCAGUCAAACCUAUGACCGAGCAGCUAAAGGAAAAUAAACACAAUUGUCUGUCCGACUGUUGCCACGUUCAUGUGCUAUUCGAAAAUACAAAACUAGGAAAUGUCCGACUUGUUAAUAGGUUGAACACGCGGCACGUAUAUAUGUACAACAGGUUAGCAAGUCGGACAUUUCUGAGUUUCGUAGUUUCCGACGAGUACUUGAACGCGGCACGUAUCCACACCCCUGUUACUUGUUCUACAUUUCUGCUCGGAGGAAGUGGCCCCUUUCCUCACCCUGUCGCUAUUUACCGCGGGGAUACAAAAUUACUAACAAACUAUUCUGUUGUGUGAAAAUGAGGCAAUUGUCGUCCUAGAAAAUUGAGAAAUCGUCUCUGCAGAAUAGCACGCACGUUGUAACAACAUAGUUGUAAGAAGAUACGCCAGAGUGGAUCGUUUUGAGCUGGAGUAGCCUCGUCUGCUUUGUUUACGUUGGGAUUGUUUUGAUGCGGGGUGUUUUCACGGUGACGUUUUUGCGUGGAAAACGACUGUAAAUCCUGCAACGAUGGCAAUGCAGGCCCAGGUGAUAUAUGACUUCAGUGCUGAACCAGGAAAUAACGAGUUGACAGUCAGAGAAGGAGAGACUGUCACCGUCCUCAAUCAGAAUGUUGGUGGAGGAUGGAUAGAGGCUCAGAACUCCAGAGGAGAAAGUGGGC